GACGAACGCUGGCGGCGUGCUUAACACAUGCAAGUCGAACGAUGAAGAAGAGAAACGCGAACUUCGGUUCAAAUUUCACUUCGGAUUAGUGGCAGACGGGUGAGUAACGCGUGAGCAACCUACCUCUUACAAAGGGAUAGCCUCGGGAAACCGUGAUUAAUACCAUAUGACACAUUCAUAAGGCAUCUUAAGAAUGUUAAAGCUACGGCGGUAAGAGAUGGGCUCGCGUCCCAUUAGCUAGUUGGUGAGGUAACGGCCCACCAAGGCGACGAUGGGUAACCGGCCUGAGAGGGUGAACGGUCACAUUGGAACUGAGACACGGUCCAAACUCCUACGGGAGGCAGCAGUGGGGAAUAUUGCACAAUGGAGGGAACUCUGAUGCAGCGACGCCGCGUGAGCGAUGAAGGAAUUCGUUUCGUAAAGCUCUGUUCUUUGGGAAGAAAAGGACUGUACCAUAGGAGAAAGCCCCGGCUAAAUACGUG
rnacentral:rRNA from 1 species